rnacentral:rRNA from 1 species
GAUGGGGGAACCUGAUCAGCGAUGCCGCGUGAGUGAUGAAGGCCUUCGGGUUGUAAAACUCUUUCACUGAUGAAGAUGACGACGGUAGUCAGAGAAGAAGCUCCGGCUAACUUCGUGCCAGCAGCCGCGGUAAUACGAAGGGAGCUAGCGUUGUUCGGAACUACUGGGCGUAAAGAGUACGUAGGCUGUUAUGUAAGUUAGGUGUGAAAUUCUUGGUCUUAAGCUAAGGACUGCACUUAAUACUGCAUGACUUGAGUAUGGGAGAGGACAGAGGAAUUACUAGUGUAGAGGUGAAAUUCGUAGAUAUUAGUAGGAACAUCGAUGGCGAAGGCAUCUGUCUGGAACAUAACUGACGCUUAGGUACGAAAGUGUGGGGAGCAAACAGGAUUAGAUACCCUGGUAGUCCACACCGUAAACGAUGAGUGCUAGAUGUUGGUAUUAUGUAUCAGUGUCUGAGCUAACGCAUUAAGCACUCCGCCUGGGGAGUACGAUCGCAAGAUUAAAACUCAAAGGAAUUGACGGGGACCCGCACAAGCGGUGGAGCAUGUGGUUUAAAUUCGAAGCAACGCGAAGAACCUUACCAGGGCUUGACAUACCUACUAUAAUGACCAGAGAUUGUNGUAUACAGUUUGGCUGGGUAGGAUACAGGUGCUGCAUGGCUG